rnacentral:lncRNA from 1 species
CCCUGUAGCUUGUUCCUUGGGUAGAAUUGCUUUUUUGCUGAAUGCAAUACAUUAUAGGACUGAAAUUCUCCUGCAAGAUGAUAUUUCUCUGAAUGUAUUACCUCAGAAGGAGUUAAGGACAGAAAAAUAUCUCUGUUGCCUCUGUUGAUCCCAAAUGGCUGUGAGGAUGCUCAGAUACAUGAACCACCUGGCACUGUGUUGGGGCCUGUGUUGGCAUCAUGCUGCCAUAAAUGACCCAAAUAUUCCUACCGAGAAGAUGCUUCUACUGAAGAAGAGAAGCUCUCUGUCUGCAGGAGCACAUCUGCCUUGGUUCUCCGCAGCCCAGCUGUGAGGUGAGACACAGAGCCCAGGAAGGUGGAUCUGCUAGGAAGAAAGCACCUUGCACAGAAAGGUGGAAAGAGAAGAGAACAAUUAUGAUGGCAGCAAAAGGAAAUGAACAAAGACAGUUAGAAAUUGAUACUAAUAACACGCGCUCCCUGAAAAGUUAGCAUUUGGAGUUGCUGACUCUUCAAUUUGCGCUUUCCUUGCAUUAAGGAUAUAAUGCAGUGUAAUCCA